ACUCUCAUCUCUCUACGAGAGUGUUGUUCAUUAUUGCAUCAAGAGCUCUCUCUGUCUUGGGACUUAGUAGGAUUGCCGAGCAGGUUUAUCGCUUCAUUCUCUGGUUUCUGAGGGAGAGCACUGUUCUAGGAGACCCUUCCUAACAGUCUUGGUGACCCGACGUGAUAUCCUCACCUGGUGCCUCAUGGAUCGAGUGUACGCUCUGGCCUCCUCACUCAUCCCCCACCGGUCCGACUACGUCUUUAUGGCACAGACCGUGCUACAGCCCGUCUACGCGUCAUUGGAACCAUCUUAUGAUGAUGCUGUUUCUGUGUAGGAGCCUUUUUCUCUGUUCUCUCUGAUGUGCGUAUUGCUUAUAACCCGUCUUCAACGAGUUAUAAAAGAGGGGAAUGAAAGGGUUAACUUUCCUUUGGCCUGUCUCUUCCCCGGUGACUAACAUGUAUUAAUAAAAUCAGACACUGCUGAGGGUGCAAGGGUGUCUGCCCUUUGAGCAUACUUACAGGCUGUUAAUAACUAUUGUUCCUCUUUCAUUCUGCAAACCACUUGCACUUUUGACUUACUGGAUUUUGAUGUUGAACUGAGCACAUCCAGGGAUGGAGAAAAACAACUCCAUGUAUGGACCAGCAGGUUACGACAUAUGUUAGAAUGUGGUCGGGCCCUUCCUGGCUGCCUGCGUGCACGUGGGACGGGCUCUCUGUGUUUAUAAAGAGGGGACUGCCCCUUCUUCUGUGUGCUUUAUGAAUAAAACUCUCAUCUCUCUACGA